UACGUAGGGUGCAAGCGUUAAUCGGAAUUACUGGGCGUAAAGAGUGUGUAGGCGGUGCUCUAAGUUCGGUGUGAAAUCUCCUGGCUCAACUGGGAGGGUGCGCCGGAAACUGGAGUGCUUGAGCGUGGGAGAGGAAAGCGGAAUUCCUGGUGUAGCGGUGAAAUGCGUAGAUAUCAGGAGGGACACCUGUGGUGUAGACGGCUUUCUGGACCAUAGCUGACGCUGAGACACGAAAGCGUGGGUAGCAAACAGG
rnacentral:rRNA from 1 species